rnacentral:tRNA from 1 species
CGGGGAGUAGCUCAGCUUGGUAGAGCGCUGCGUUUGGGACGCAGAUGUCGCAGGUUCGAAUCCUGUCUCCCCGA